UACGGAGGGUGCAAACGUUGCUCGGAAUCAUUGGGCGUAAAGCGAACGUAGGCGGCUAUGUAAGUCGGGUGUGAAACCUCCAGGCUCAACCUGGAGACGCCACUCGAUACUGCUGUGACUAGAGUUCGGUAGGGGAUCACGGAAUUCCUGGUGUAGCGGUGAAAUGCGCAGAUAUCAGGAGGAACACCGGUGGCGAAGGCGGUGAUCUGGGCCGACACUGACGCUGUAGAGCGAAAGCGUGGGGAGCGAACAGG
rnacentral:rRNA from 1 species